rnacentral:tRNA from 2 species
GGCCCUUUAGCUCAGUGGUUAGAGCAGACGACUCAUAAUCGCUUGGUCGUUGGUUCAAACCCAACAGGGGCCACCA